rnacentral:rRNA from 1 species
AUUGAACGCUGGCGGCAUGCUUUACACAUGCAAGUCGAACGGUAACAGGCCGCAAGGUGCUGACGAGUGGCGAACGGGUGAGUAAUGCAUCGGAACGUGCCCAGUCGUGGGGGAUAACGCAGCGAAAGCUGCGCUAAUACCGCAUACGAUCUGUGGAUGAAAGCGGGGGACCGUAAGGCCUCGCGCGAUUGGAGCGGCCGAUGUCAGAUUAGGUAGUUGGUGAGGUAAAGGCUCACCAAGCCGACGAUCUGUAGCUGGUCUGAGAGGACGACCAGCCACACUGGGACUGAGACACGGCCCAGACUCCUACGGGAGGCAGCAGUGGGGAAUUUUGGACAAUGGGCGCAAGCCUGAUCCAGCAAUGCCGCGUGCAGGAAGAAGGCCUCGGGUUGUAAACUGCUUUUUGUACGGAACGAAACGGCUCUGGUUAAUACCCGGGGCUAAUGACGGUACUGUAAGAAUAAGCACCGGCUAACUACGUGCCAGCAGCCGCGGUAAUACGUAGGGUGCGAGCGUUAAUCGGAAUUACUGGGCGUAAAGCGUGCGCAGGCGGUGCUGUAAGACAGGCGUGAAAUCCCGGGCUUAACCUGGGAAUGGCGCUUGUGACUGCAGUGCUGGAGUGCGGCAGAGGGGGAUGGAAUUCCGCGUGUAGCAGUGAAAUGCGUAGAUAUGCGGAGGAACACCGAUGGCGAAGGCAAUCCCCUGGGCCUGCACUGACGCUCAUGCACGAAAAGCGUGGGGGAGCAAACAG